CCCUUAGAUGCUCUGGGCCGCACGCGCGCUACACUGGUCGAUGCAACGAGUUUCUUUCCUUGGCCGACAGGCCUGGGCAAUCUUUGAACAUCGAUCGUGAUCGGGAUAGAUUCUUGUAAUUUUUGAUCUUAAACGAGGAAUUCCUAGUAAACGCAAGUCAUCAGCUUGCAUUGAUUACGUCCCUGCCCUUUGUACACACCGCCCGUCGCACCUACCGAUUGAAUGGUCCGGUGAAAUCUCCGGACUGGCGUGAGUCGGAGCAAUCUGACAAACGUCGGAAAGUUGAUUAAACCUUACCAUUUAGAGGAAGGUGAAGUCGUAACA
rnacentral:rRNA from 1 species